UUAAUCUUAUUUUUAUAUUUUAUUUUUAUAAUAUAUUUUUAGUUUGAAUUAAUUUUAAUAUUUUAUUGUAAAAUUUAUAUAUAAUUAUGUAGUAUUAUUUUUAGUACCUUUUGUAUUAGGGUUAAUUUAUUUAUUUAAAUCAUUUUUUAUCCCGAAUUUGAAUUAUUUAAUUUUAUAUUGUUUAAUUUGUAAUAAAAAAUUUUAUAAAUAUUUUAUUUGUAAUUAAAAGUUAUUCGUAUUCAAUUUAUAUCUGGUUACUUUAGAUUUAAUUAAAUUUUGAAUUAUUUUAAAUUUUUUAAUAUUUUUAUUUAAUUUUAUUUUAUAAGGGAUAAUCUUUAUAUUUUAAUAUAAUAUUCUUAUUUUUAUUUUAAUUAUCUUUUAAAUUUUGUAUAAAGUUUUUAAUAAAUUUUUUUAUUUUGAUUUAAUUUUUUUUUAUUUAUUUUCAUAUAAAGUUUAUUUAAAUUUUAAUUAUUUAUUUUAUAUAAUGAUUAUAUUAGUAGAAUUUUAUAAGUAUUAUAAUUGAAUUCGACAAUUAUAUUUUUCAACUGUUUAUCAAAAACAUUUUUUUAAGAUUAAAUUAUUUAAAGUAAGUUCUGCUCUAUGAAUAAUUUUAAAUGGCUGCAGUAUUUUAACUGUACAAAGGUAGCAUAAUAAUUAGUCUUUUAAUUGAGGGCUUGUAUGAAUGAAUAAAUGAAAAAUUUAUUAUAAUAGGUUUUACAAUUUUAAUUUAAUUUAUUGGUAAAAAAGCUAAUUUUUUUAUUUGGGACGAAAAGACCCUACAGAACUAUUCUUAUUAAUUUAAUUUAAUUUUAAUUAUAAUUUAAUUUAAUUUUUAAAGUUUUAUUGGGGUGAUAAUUAAAUUUAAUCUUUAUUAUUUUAUUUCUUUUUAAAAGAUUAAAUUGAUUCAAUUUGAUUGAUUUUAAGAUAAAGUUACCUUAGGGAUAACAGCGUAAUUUAAAUGGGGAGUUCAUAUUUAUAUUUAAGAUUGCGACCUCGAUGUUGAAUUAAGAUUAUUUAAAGGGGUAGAAUUUUUUAAUUUAAGUCUGUUCGACUUUUAAAUUCUUACAUGAUUUGAGUUCAAACCGGUGUGAGCCAGGUUGGUUUCUAUCUUAAUAAUUUUUAUUUAUUUUAGUACGAAAGGACCAAAUAAUUCAUUAUUAUUUAAUGUAUAAUUUUAAUAUA
rnacentral:rRNA from 1 species